rnacentral:rRNA from 1 species
CAGUCGCCGCGGUAAUACGAAGGGUGCAAGCGUUAAUCGGAAUUACUGGGCGUAAAGCGUGCGUAGGCGGUGAGUUAAGUCUGCUGUGAAAUCCCCGGGCUCAACCUGGGAAUGGCAAUGGAUACUGGCAAGCUAGAGUGUGUCAGAGGAUGGUGGAAUUCCCGGUGUAGCGGUGAAAUGCGUAGAGAUCGGGAGGAACAUCAGUGGCGAAGGCGGCCAUCUGGGACAACACUGACGCUGAGGCACGAAAGCGUGGGGAGCAAACAGGAUUAGAUACCCCUGUAGUCCCUGUCUCUUAUAU